CCUACGGGUGGCAGCAGUGGGGAAUAUUGCACAAUGGGCGAAACCCUGAUGCAGCGACGCCGCGUGAGUGAAGAAGGAUCUCGGUACGUAAAGCUCUAUCAGCAGGGAAGAAAAUGACGGUACCUGACUAAGAAGCCCCGGCUAACUACGUGCCAGCAGCCGCGGUAAUACGGAGGGGGCAAGCGUUAGCCGGAUUUACUGGGUGUAAAGGGAGCGUAGACGGCAGCACAAGUCUGGAGUGAAAUCCCGGGGCUUAACCCCGGAACUGCUUUGGAAACUGGGCGGCUGGAGUGCAGUAGGGGUAAGCGGAAUUCCAUGUGUAGCGGUGAAAUGCGUAGAUAUUAGGAGGAACACCGGUGGCGAAGGCGGCUUACUAAACUGCCACUGACAUUGAUGCUCGAAAGUGUGGGUAGCAAACAGGAUUAGAUACCCGAGUAGUC
rnacentral:rRNA from 1 species